AUAAUGGACAGCAAGCAUGAAGUAAAAGGUGUGUCACUAUGUGCNACAUCACAAGAGAAUACAAAAAACAGAGAAAGAGAAAAGAGAAAACGUAAACGCAGCAGAAGCAGGUCUCCUUCCAUUUCUUCUACCACUUCAUCCAGUUCUUCAUCAUCGUCAUCAUCUUCCUCCUCCUCAAGAUCUUCUGCUUCACGUAGCAGAAGCAGUUCAAGUAGCAGAGAUUCUCCUAAAGCAAAAUCGAAGAAAAGGAAAAAGGAAAAACACAACAAAAAGGUAAAGCCAAGAUAA
rnacentral:lncRNA from 1 species